rnacentral:misc_RNA from 1 species
CGCAUCUUGCGCUCCUUGGUAUUCCGAGGAGCAUGCCUGUUUGAGUGUCAUUAAAUUCUCAACCUUGUCAGCUUUUAUCGGCUGGUCAAGGCCUGGAUGUGGGGGCUUUUUUGCAGGUCUUCACAGAUCUGCUCCCCUGAAAUACAUUAGUGGUGCCUCUGUAGUGUGAGCGGCUAUUUGGUGUGAUAAUCUAUCUACGCCAUUAGACGGCCUACAUCUCUGGAAUGAGAAGGAGGGAUUAAUCUGCUUAUAACCGUCCUUCGGGACAAAACAUAAAUGACUAUUUUGACCUCAAAUCAGGUAGGACUACCCGCUGAACUUAA